rnacentral:rRNA from 1 species
GCCGCGUGUAUGAAGAAGGCCUUCGGGUUGUAAAGUACUUUCAGCGGGGAGGAAGGUGUUGUGGUUAAUAACCACAGCAAUUGACGUUACCCGCAGAAGAAGCACCGGCUAACUCCGUGCCAGCAGCCGCGGUAAUACGGAGGGUGCAAGCGUUAAUCGGAAUUACUGGGCGUAAAGCGCACGCAGGCGGUCUGUCAAGUCGGAUGUGAAAUCCCCGGGCUCAACCUGGGAACUGCAUUCGAAACUGGCAGGCUGGAGUCUUGUAGAGGGGGGUAGAAUUCCAGGGUGUA